rnacentral:lncRNA from 1 species
GUACCCUUAUUUGGCUAAUGAAAAGUUGAAGUUGAGUUAAAAAAACAAAAAAAAACUUUAAUUAAGAAAGGAACCAUGACAAAAAAUCUGAAGUAUAUUUAUACAUUGUUACCAUUUUGCCCCUCUUUACAUUUCCCCCAUUUCUUUUAGAGCAUCAGCAUUAGUCACAAAACCAUAUAAAUUUUUCUUUCCAAAUAUAAUAUUGAUAUUAUGUAUAUAGCUUAAUUGUUUUAUCUCUAUAAUAUUAUUUAAGAAGUCAGUUUCCUUCAUAUCACACUCGCG